rnacentral:lncRNA from 1 species
CUGGGUACUUGUAUGAGAAGUAGAUCCAAAGGACUAGCAGUGAUAGAGGUAUUUUGGUUCUGAUUUACCAACAUACCCUAUUAAUAUAUUAUUUUCUUUAAUAUGGGGUAGUAUGCUUAUUCCUUUAGUCACCAAUAGAUUUUAUUAGUGGCAGAUGCUAUAAUUUCUGUAGUACCAUAUGUAUAUCUCAAUGAUCUAUAUAUGUAUGUAUAUAUCAUGAUUUUUGAUUAAUACUUUUAUUUUUUUCUAAUAUGGAUUUUGGGAUAUUGAUAGUGCUUAUUCUUAUUGCUGGGUAUCUCGAAUAUUAAUUCAAUAGGAGUUUUUUCAUCCCUUCUGUAUCUGUAGUUUAGAGUUCUUACUGCCUCCCAGAGUGCUUUAGUCCAAGCGUUUAUAUCUAGAUUGCUAGUAAUCAACCUAAGAUUUGCUUGGGCAAGUCAUCUUACCUUUCAAUUCAUCCAGAAGCAAUUGGGUUGUAACAUAAGUGAAAGUUCUACAUUGUGCUCUGUUUC